AUUUAAAGAGUGCGUAACAGCUCACUAGUCGAGCGGUUCUGCAUGGAUAAUAAUCGGGCAUAAGUAUAUUACCGAAGCUAUGGACUUAUUAAAGUGGUAGGGGAGCAUUCUAUGGGUGUUGAAGGUGUGCUGUGAGGCAUGCUGGAACGCAUAGAAAAGAAAAUGUAGGCAUAAGUAACGAUAAAGCAGGCGAAAAACCUGCUCCCCGAAAGGCCAAGGUUUCCUGAUCAACGCUAAUCGGAUCAGGGUUAGUCGGGUCCUAAGGCGAACCGAUUUAGGGUAGUCGAUGGAAAACAGGUUAAUAUUCCUGUACCAGCGGAGAGGGACGGAGAAGUGUGGCAACAUAGACUGACGGAAUAGUUGAGCCUAGCCGUAUGGCGAAGCGCAGUUGUGAAGCUUCUUCCAAGAAAAGCUCCCGCAUAAGCCCGUACCGCAAACCGACACAGGUGGCCGGGUUGAGAAUACUAAGGGGCUCAAGUGAAUCACGGUUAAGGAAUUCGGCAAAUUAACCCUGUAACUUCGGGAUAAAGGGUGCCUACGAAAGUAGGCCGCAGUGAAUUGGUCCAGGCGACUGUUUAUCAAAAACACAUGGCUUUGCAAAAUCGAAAGAUGACGUAUAAGGCCUGACACCUGCCCGGUGCCGGAAGGUUAAGUGGAGAUGUUAGCUUCGGCGAAGCAUUUAAAUGAAGCCCCGGUAAACGGCGGCCGUAACGAUAACGGUCCUAAGGUAGCGAAAUUCCUUGUCGGGU
rnacentral:rRNA from 1 species